AGGGCAAGUCUGGUGCCAGCAGCCGCGGUAAUUCCAGCUCCAAUAGCGUAUAUUAAAGUUGUUGCAGUUAAAAAGCUCGUAGUUGAACUUCGGGGUUUACUCAUUGGUCAGGCUUAAUUGUCUGUACUGGUGAGAUGGAUCUCUACCUUCUGAGGAACUUUCAUGUCAUUAAUUUGGUGUGAUUGGAAAUCAGGACUGUUACUUUGAAAAAAUUAGAGUGUUUAAAGCAGGCUAACGUCUGAAUACAUUAGCAUGGAAUAAUGAAAUAGGACGGACUGAUUCUAUUUCGUUGGCUUCUAGGAUCGAUGUAAUGAUUAAUAGGGAUAGUUGGGGGCAUUAGUAUUCAAUUGUCAGAGGUGAAAUUCUUGGAUUUAUUGAAGACUAACUACUGCGAAAGCAUUUGCCAAGGAUGUUUUCAUUAAUCAAGAACGAAAGCUAGGGGAUCGAAGACGAUCAGAUACCGUCGUAGUCUUAACCAUAAACUAUGCCGACUAGGGAUCGGAUGAUGUUAAUUUUUUAAUGACUCAUUCGGCGCCUUACGGGAAAC
rnacentral:rRNA from 1 species